UCUCAACCCGCCAGAUCUUCCAAUUGCUCGCAGAAAAUCUUUGUAGAGAUUUUUGGAAAAGCGCAAAGAGAGGUUGACUUGUGCAUCCCCAUAUGGUUGCUAGUUCAGUGCACCU